CUAACUUUUCUUUCUACUUUUGCUUCAUUAAACUGUUAUGAUGUGACUUCAUGUAGUCCGAUAUUACAGUAAAGUAGUAAAAAUAAUAAUAUAUUUUCAUAGUGAUUUUCGAAGAAUAUAUAACGGAACGUUAGAGAAGAAUAAUAAAUAUAAAUUUGAUUGAUAGUAUUUGCUUAGUUAUUGAAUUGCGUCAUAUAUUAAAACUAUACAAUAUUUGUUGAAUGCUAUUACACAACGAUAUUUAACUACUAUAUCAACUAUAUAUUUUAACUAUACAAUAAAGUUUUUAUAUCUUAUAUAGUUUUUAAUUAAGAAGUUUAAGAAAAUGAUAAAUGAUAAUUAAACUGAAUUCUAAUGAUCUAAUGGGAGAUAUAAGAAUUUGUUAUAAAUAAAUGUACGAUCAGCGAAUUUUUAAUAAUCAUUUUUUUUAUCGUUAAUCAGCACUUGUAAAAAUGGAUAAAACCAAACAACAGUUAUAAUAAAAAUGGAUUAUCUUGGAUUUAUAGAAAGAAAGCAAAAUUACGAAGGGCUAAGAAUAUAACACAAAAUGAAGAUGCUGAUACAGAAUUAAAUAAUUCUGCGACAAGAAUUUUUGUUCGUAAUCUUCCAUGUAGGGUAAAAGAAGAGGACAUUAAACGGUUGUAUGAAAAAUAUGGAGAAAUACAAGAAAUAAUUCUUCCUUGCCAAUCAAAUUCAUCACUUAUUGGAUACGCGUUCAUAAAAUUUAAACGAAUGCAAGAUGCAUCCAAAGCUAUAUUUAAUACAAAUAAAAAAGAAUUUUUUGGUAGAAUAAUUACUAGUGGAUGGGUCGUUGCAAAUUCUAAACUUCAUAAAAAGAUGAAAAAUAUCUCUGAGAUUAAUAAUAAAAAUAAAUUCUCUUUUCCUUCUUCCAAAAGACAAAAUACAGAUAUAAAAAAAGGACAUAAAUCUUUGACCUUACGAGAAACUGAUAUUUCAAAACAUAAAAAAGGAAACAUUAAUUGCCACAUAUGAAUUGAUACUAUAUAUAUAUAUUAUUAUUAUUAUGUUUUUUAAAUAAAAUGUAGUUACUAUUU